GUGGCAGCGAUGAUUGGAAAAUAAUUCCUCGUUCUGAAUGCUGUGGUUACAGCGUGACAGACUCUUUUCCACCCAUAGAAUAUGAGCUCC
rnacentral:snoRNA from 1 species